rnacentral:rRNA from 1 species
GACGAACGCUGGCGGCGUGCUUAACACAUGCAAGUCGAACGGAAAGGCCCUGCUUUUGUGGGGUGCUCGAGUGGCGCACGGGUGAGUAACACGUGAGUAACCUGCCCUUGACUUUGGGAUAACUUCAGGAAAAUGGGGCUAAUAUCCGAUAGGAGCUCCUGCUGCAUGGUGGGGGUUGGAAAGUUUCGGCGGUUGGGGAUGGACUCGCGGCUUAUCAGCUUGUUGGUGGGGUAGUGGCUGACCAAGGCUUUGACGGGUAGCCGGCCUGAGAGGGUGACCGGCCACAUUGGGACUGAGAUACGGCCCAGACGCCUACGUGAGGCAGCAGUGGGGAAUAUGGCACAAUGGGCGGAAGCCUGAGGCAGCAACGCCGCGUGCGGGAUGACGGCCUUCGGGUUGUAAACCGCUUUCGCCUGUGACGAAGCGUGAGUGACGGUAAUGGGUAAAGAAGCACCGGCUAACUACGUG